AACGAACGCUGGCGGCAUGCCUAACACAUGCAAGUCGAACGAAGGCUUCGGCCUUAGUGGCGCACGGGUGCGUAACGCGUUGGAAUCUGCCCUUAGGUUCGGAAUAACAGUUAGAAAUGACUGCUAAUACCGGAUGAUGACGUAAGUCCAAAGAUUUAUCGCCUGAGGAUGAGCCCGCGUAGGAUUAGCUAGUUGGUGUGGUAAAGGCGCACCAAGGCGACGAUCCUUAGCUGGUCUGAGAGGAUGAUCAGCCACACUGGGACUGAGACACGGCCCAGACUCCUACGGGAGGCAGCAGUGGGGAAUAUUGGACAAUGGGCGCAAGCCUGAUCCAGCAAUGCCGCGUGAGUGAUGAAGGCCUUAGGGUUGUAAAGCUCUUUUACCCGUGAUGAUAAUGACAGUAGCGGGAGAAUAAGCCCCGGCUAACUCCGUG
rnacentral:rRNA from 1 species